GCAGUCGUAUGGAACACCUGCGCACUCACACUAGUGAAUGUCCACUUCACUGCGCCUUCUGCUUGCAGAAAUUCCCAUAAGAAAUCCCACCUGUCAGCUCACCUGCACCUCCACACGGGAAAAGCCAUACAGUUCCACUAUCUCCUCCAAGUCAUUUGCGCAGAGCAGUCACCUGAGAGUUCAUAUGGGAUUUCACAACACUGACAUUGUUUUCUUUUGCCUUUAGAUUUCCAAAACAAUAUGGAGGUUAACUGGGGCCACCAAUGUAGAAGAGUGGCAUUCCAGCGGUCCAGUAACUCUAGG
rnacentral:lncRNA from 1 species